rnacentral:rRNA from 1 species
AUGAAGCGGCAGCGCUGGUCGUGCGACGUGCGCGGGCGCAGCACGCUCUGGGCGCUCUUCCAUCAGGACGACCGCGAGCGCGUCCGCGACGGCACAGCCUUCGACGCGUUCCCCGUCUCGUCCUCCGCCGCGGCCGCGGCGCUCCCCACCGAAUUCCACCAGCUGCCGUCGGCUCGACCGUGCGUCCCAGAGAUCUUCUUGGAGGACGAGAUCGUUAUGGCCGAGAGCUCUGACGAGAUAACUCCGGUGGUGGAGCUCGUCUUGGUUGUCGACACCUCAGGAGAGAUGAAAACCGAAGCUUAUGGGUCCGGGGAGGUCAAGGCCAUGAAGGAUCACAUAGAUCUCGAAUCUUCGCAGCCCAAGAAGCCGCCGCCCAUGGACCUGAAGGAGAUCGCCGGGAGCUUCCGGCUCGCUGCUUCGGUCUUCAGCAAGAAGUGGCACAAGUGGAGGCGCAAGCAGAAGCUCAAGAAGGAGGAGGCGGCCGGCAGCAAGGCAGUGGCCGCAGCAAUGCCGCCGUCGGAGAAGCCAUCCAAGCCCUCCUUCCUUCAGCGGAGCCGCCUUCAUGGGGAGGCAGGCUCGGAGUUCGCGGGAGGCCGUCGUUCGUGCGACACGGACCCAAGAUUCUCCCUUGAUGCUGGCCGCAUGUCUGUCGACGAUGUAGGUCUAUCCUGGGGCGGGCCCCGCGCGUCCUGGGACGGCUACCUCUUCGGCGCCGGCGCCGGCAUUGGCCUUGGCCGAGCGCCUCCGCCGCUGUCACGGCUCCCGCCCAUCCUCUCCGCGCUCGAGGACUCACCUGCCAGCGUGGUGGAACGCUCCGACGGCCAAAUUCCUGUGGAAGAUGACUCGCAGCCCGAGCCCGACGGCGACGCCAAUACCCCCGGAGGCUCGGCGCAGACGCGAGACUACUACAUGGACACGCCGAGCCGGAGGCGCCGGAGCCUGGAGCGGUCAGGCUCCGUGCUGACAAGGUCGUUCGAAGUGCCCGACCCAAAGCCAGCCCUUGCAGCGGCCGCCAUCACCAAUGCCACGGUGUCCCCGCUGACCGGCAACUCAGAGUUCUACCACUUCCACCAUGCCGAAGACCUGCUCGACCAACGGUUCAGCUCAAACUCUCUCGUCGAAGACUUCCCGGUGACCCUAGACGCCGCGUUCCCGGGCCCUGCCAAGAAGCCACGGCGUCUAGGCAAGGCGUGGAGCUUCUGGGGCUUCAUACACCGCCGGGGCAGCCCGUCCGACGCCGCGGACCGCGCGUUCUCGGAGCCGUGGCCGGAGCUGCGCGUCCGCGGGUACAGCAACGCCGGGAUGCAGAGGUGCAACAGCAACGCCAGCGCGCGCAGCUCGUUCAGCAGCAACAGCGCCGGCCUGGGCAGCUCGCGGCGCUGCUUCGACGACGGCCACGGCAGCGUCAAGCGGCGACAGGAAGACCAAUGCGUGCUGGAGCGGAACCGCAGCGCUCGGUACUCGCCGGGGCACCACGCCGACAACGGCAUGCUGCGGUUCUACCUGACCCCGCUGCGGAGCGCCAGCGGCCGGCGCGGCGCCACCGGGCUGCCGGCCAACGGCGGCCGGCACCUGCGGUCGCAGUCGUUCGCGAGGAGCAUGCUCCGGCUGUACUGA